rnacentral:rRNA from 1 species
GACGAACCACACAAACGUUAUUCGGAAUUACUGGGCUUAAAGGGUGCGUAGGCUGCGCAGAAAGUUGGGUGUGAAAUCCCUCGGCUCAACCGAGGAACUGCGUCCAAAACUACUGUGCUCGAGGGAGACAGAGGUGAGCGGAACUUAGGGUGGAGCGGUGAAAUGCGUUGAUAUCCUAAGGAACACCCGUGGCGAAAGCGGCUCACUGGGUCUCCUCUGACGCUGAGGCACGAAAACUAGGGUAGCGAACGGG